AACGGUCUGAGUUAUGGCUUCGUGUUUAAUCCCCUUGAUUCUCGCCCAUGGUGAGGCUUUGAAUGUGCUGUCUAGAUCUAAAAGCCUGUGUGUGUUGGGUAUAAAUAUAGGUGAGUAUUGCUCUUCUUGAACUCAUCUAUUCUCAUAUCUCUUAUAUAGCAUACUAAUUCACGGCUUAAUCGCUAACUCAAGGGUGUUCUUCUCCAAUCUGAAGUUCGGCAAGUGUUCCUCCGCUAGGCUGUUGUGGAUCUGGGAAUUUGAUGGCCUAAACCAGCAUGAUUACAGAUGCAUUUAAUACCCCCUUUCGAUUGAGCUCAUCACUACGAUAAGAAAGUGUUUGGUUUCAUCCAAGGAUAUGAGCGUGUCUUGGAUACUGCUUGCUUUGAUCACAGAGGUAAACCAGAACAUCCGGACUUUACACUCGAGAAAGAUGGAGCCAUAUGCGUAAGUAGACAUUCUAAAGUAUCUGUAUGAUGCAAGGAUCUCAGAGUCUGUUUGUGAGGCCUGCUGCAUUUUGUUUCUGUCGCAGACCAGAAGAAGAACGUUUGGCAAUGGAGGUGUGUUUAUGCAUCAAAUAACUAAAGUAUCUCUCUUUCACGGCUCUCUGACUCCGUAAGCUCCUAAUCUGACCCUUGGGUUAUCAUGAUAUGAGAUUCUCAAUUACUGUUUGGAGUCUUUAUCUUUUUCAAAGUUGUGCGUAGUCUUGAGGUGUUAAAGGUAUGAUUGUAUUUACUUUUUCCUCCUGCUAUUGAGUAGUACUAAAUAAUAAGAUUUUAUUUUGUUGUUUUAGUUUCUCUGUGAAUAUAACAUUGUAAAUGUCUUCACUUGGUAUCAAGGUCAUCGAGAAAGAGAGAGUGUACCAAUUGUAAAUUUAUUGUGCAAAAACAUUUAUUUAUUUAUUUUUAUACAA